CCUACGGGUGGCAGCAGUGGGGAAUAUUGGACAAUGGGCGAAAGCCUGAUCCAGCCAUGCCGCGUGUGUGAAGAAGGCCUUCGGGUUGUAAAGCACUUUCAGUGGGGAAGAAAGCCUUGGGGCUAAUACCCUCGAGGAAGGACAUCACCCACAGAAGAAGCACCGGCUAACUCCGUGGCCAGCAGCCGCGGUAAUACGGAGGGUGCGAGCGUUAAUCGGAAUUACUGGGCGUAAAGCGCGCGUAGGCGGUCUGAUAAGCCGGUUGUGAAAGCCCCGGGCUCAACCUGGGAACGGCAUCCGGAACUGUCAGGCUAGAGUGCAGGAGAGGAAGGUAGAAUUCCCGGUGUAGCGGUGAAAUGCGUAGAGAUCGGGAGGAAUACCAGUGGCGAAGGCGGCCUUCUGGACUGACACUGACGCUGAGGUGCGAAAGCGUGGGUAGCAAACAGGAUUAGAUACCCAGUAGUC
rnacentral:rRNA from 1 species